GACGGAGGAUGCAAGCGUUAUCCGGAUUUAUUGGGUUUAAAGGGAGCGUAGGCGGGAUAAUAAGUCAGUGGUGAAAUCUUGGGGCUCAACCCCGAAACUGCCAUUGAUACUGUUAACCUAGAGUAUAUUUGAUGUGGGCGGAAUGUGUCAUGUAGCGGUGAAAUGCUUAGAUAUGACACAGAACACCGAUUGCGUAGGCAGCUCACAAAACUAUAACUGACGCUGAGGCUCGAAAGCGUGGGGAUCAAACAGG
rnacentral:rRNA from 1 species